CCCACUCCCGUCCCGGCACCUCUUUUCUUCUUCUUCUUCGUUUGUUCUUCGGCUGAUCGUUCGUUCUCUCUCUCUCGCCGGAGAACCCGUCACGGCUGAGCCGGCGACGACGGCGCCAGUUUCGGCGGGAUCGAAGAGGGUGGAGCCGCAUCCGGGUCCGCGUGCGGCCGCAGAGGCAAGGCUGAGCGGCGGCGCGUGGGUUCGCUCGGAGCUCCUCACCACCUUUCGCCGGAAGGAAGGACGUGUAUGGCGGAAGGUACCUGAAAAUCGUAGACAUGUAAGUACAAUAAAACUUACUAUGCACAUCACAGCGUGUUAAGAGAAGUAAACAUGUUAGGCGUUGUGGUAGGUUUAAUAAAGAAUAAUGCUUUUACUAGGUACAUUUGGGUUAUUCACGCUAGUUGAAUGGUACACUCUUUUAGAUUUGGAAGUGAAUUGAAGGCAGCUAUAUGUAUCUUCUCGUACAUUUGGGUAUUUUUUGCUUGCUUACCAUUUUUUCCCAAGUAUUUUCUUACAUCAUUUGAGUCAUGAAUCCUGUAUUACGUCGAUUAUCUUAAUUUAAGACAGGAAUCCUAUUCUAAUAAUCCAACAAA